CGCCCAUACCGCGUUGUACACCUCUUUUCUAACGGAAUUAAACCCCUCCACCUUUGAGAGGGUGGAUGUACGUAAGAAUAAGGAUCGGCUAACUCCGUGCCAGCAGCGGCGGAUAAUACGGAGGAUCCAGCGUAUCCUGAUUAUUGGGUUUAAAGGAUGCGUAAGCGCCUGUAGUCCAGAGUGAAAGACGGUGGCUCAUCAUCGCAGUGCCUUUGAUACUGACGGGCCUGAUGCAGUUGAGUAGUCGCAUGUGACCACUAGCCGUGAAAUGCAUAGAUAUGUCACAGAACACCCACUUUCGACGGCAGCCUUACUAAAGUGUGAUUGACGCUGAGGCACGAAAGCGUGGGGAUCAAACAGGAUUAGAUACCCUUGGUAGUCCACGCCCUAAACGAUGAAUACUCGAUGUUAGCGAUAUACUGUUAGCGUCCAAGCGAAAGCGUUAAGUAUUCCACCUGGGGAGUACGCCCGCAAGGGUGAAACUCAAAGGAAUUGACGGGGGCCCGCACAAGCGGAGGAGCAUGUGGUUUAAUUCGAUGAUACGCGAGGAACCUUACCCGGGCUUGAAAGUUAGUGAAUGAUCCAGAGACGGAUCAGUCCUUCGGGACACGAAACUAGGUGCUGCAUGGCUGUCGUCAGCUCGUGCCGUGAGGUGUUGGGUUAAGUCCCGCAACGAGCGCAACCCCUAUGUUUAGUUGCCAGCACAUUAUGGUGGGGACUCUAAACAGACUGCCUGUGCAAACAGAGAGGAAGGAGGGGACGACGUCAAGUCAUCAUGGCCCUUACGUCCGGGGCUACACACGUGCUACAAUGGGCAGUACAGCGGGCAGCUACCUGGCAACAGGAUGCCAAUCUCGUAAAGCUGUUCACAGUUCGGAUCGGGGUCUGCAACUCGACCCCGUGAAGUUGGAUUCGCUAGUAAUCGCGUAUCAGCAAUGACGCGGUGAAUACGUUCCCGGGCCUUGUACACACCGCCCGUCAAGCCAUGGAAGCUGGGAGUACCUGAAGUACGUAACCGCAAGGAGCGUCCUAGGUAAGAUCCGAAUGA
rnacentral:rRNA from 1 species